UACGAAGGGGGCUAGCGUUGCUCGGAAUCACUGGGCGUAAAGCGCACGUAGGCGGCUUUUUAAGUCAGAGGUGAAAUCCUGGAGCUCAACUCCAGAACUGCCUUUGAUACUGGAGAGCUUGAGUCCGGGAGAGGUGAGUGGAACUGGCGAGUGUAGAGGUGAAAUUCGUAGAUAUUCGCAAGAACACCAGUGGCGAAGGCGGCUCACUGGCCCGGUACUGACGCUGAGGUGC
rnacentral:rRNA from 1 species